GAUGAACGCUGGCGGCGUGCCUAACACAUGCAAGUCGAGCGAAAGGACGAGAAGCUUGUGUCCUUGAGGGUAGCGGCGGACGGGCGAGUAACAAGUAGAUAAGAAACUUAUAAGUCUGGGAGAAUUACGGGAAACAGGUGACAAUAAUGGAGAAUAUUAUGAACGGCAGGGUUCAAAAGUGCAAGACGGUCUUGCCGUUACUAAUAGAUGGUUCCGCGCUGCAUUAGCUAGUUGGUAAGGUAACGGCUUACCAAGGAAACGAUGCAUAGCCGACCUGAGAGGAUGAUCGGCCACACUGGAACUGAGACACGGUCCAGACUCCUACGGGAGGCAGCAGUGGGGAAUCUUCCGCAAUGGGAGAAAGCCUGACGGAGCAACGCCGCGUGGGUGAUGAAGGUCUUCGGGUCGUAAAGCUCUGUUAUUAGGGAAGAACAUAUGUGUAAUUAUCUGUGCACGUCUUGACGGUACCUAAUCAAUAAGCCCCGGCUAACUUCGUG
rnacentral:rRNA from 1 species